UAUUUAGAAUAAAUCCAAUAUAUAAACUUACUUUCCGUAUAGACGUAUUUACGUCAAAUUUCAAGUAUGACCUUGAAAACACGUAAGAUUUUUUGGUACGAUAACUUUUACUAUUUCUCUUUUCCGUAUACAAAGUUUGGCCUACUGCUAAUGUCAUCUUUAUGGCUUUAUUUACAAAGAUUGUGGUAGUUUUCUUCCUUUCGCUUUCCAAGGAAACCUUUCACCACAGAUACAAAAGAUUUUCACGCUGCGAGUUCAUUAUUAGAAAGUCUGGCUUCAAAAUUUUCAUCGUCGAACAGUUUUCUGAUCUGAGGCCCGACAAAAAUUCCUUCUUUUAACUUGGCAUCACUAAGAUUCUGAAAAAUUCCUUGUCCAUUCCUUUACCAAAAUUUUUGAUAAGUCCUAGUUUAAUAUGAAGUGGUGGUAAGAGAACAUUUUGUGGACCAACCAAAGGCUAGAACUUGAUAUUACUUUUUCCCGGAAUUAAUUCAUUUCUUCGCGGCCUGUCUUUCGUUUCAUAGUGCCUCUCUGUUGCUCUACUGUCACACAUACAAAGGGAACAGCAGUAUUUAGUGAAUCCCCCUUGGAGACCGAGUAACAACGCUAUGACCUUAAAAUCAGCGCAUAGCUGCCACCUGUGUUCCUCGUACUUCACACUUUUGAUGAUUCUUUCAAUAUUUUCAUAGUAUUGUUUUAGGCCUACAGAAUGUGCUACUGGAACUGAAGCUUUUACAUUCCCAUUGUGUAACAGCACGGCCUUCAAGCUCAACUUCGACGAAUCUAUAAAUAGUCGCCAUUCUUUCGGAUCAUAAGUGACUCCUAUUUCUUUCAUAAAGCCAUUAAUGUCAUUACAAUAGCAUGUGCUUAAACGUCAAAACUCGCACUUACAGUGAGGUUAUGGGAGACUGCCAGUGUAGCCAACCUGCAAAAAAUAUCCCUAUGGAAUCAAGAAAUUCACUCAUUUGGUAGACGUAAGACAAAAUAACACAAAAAUGGUACGUGAUGGAAACUUUUCUAGGCCAUAUUUGAAUUUUGCGCAAAAAAUACAAUAUGAAACAUUUUCGUUUAUUUUACCGAAACAUUGUUGACCAGUGUAUUCAGAGUUAGAUGUCUUAAGAGUGGACAAGAGUUUUGGAAAACCAAUGAGUAUAGGUAGGAUUUUGGGAUUUUACAAAGGGAAUAGCUAGGUUAAUCGCCUUCGAUACAGUAGCCGUGAGAUUAUUAACUGCAGCAUCAACGCAAGACCAGUCCGAGUGUUCUAGGGUAUAGUAAAGUAAUAAAUAGUGUCCUUUACCGUAAUUGCUUCGAGGUGUAAGCGAAGUAUAUUGACAGUCCAGACUUAAUUUAAGAUUAAGGACACGAGGCGGAUGAUAGUGGUCAGGAGGCACCAACGAAUAUUUGGUAACCGGCGCAAGCUUCAAUUCGCUGUCCUUUGAGUUCUUAAUUGCACCUUCAACGUUAAGGUUGAUAAUCCAAUGCACCUGCGCCACCAUUUGGAGUAUUUUACAACCGCUCUAUAUACCAGGAAACAUAAAAGAAGAAAAUUGGAUCAAAAUAGCUGAUCAAUUCUACCAAAGAACCAAGUUUCCCAAUGUAAGAGAUGCCAUUGAUGGAAAGCAUAUUCGCAUUAUCCAACCUCCUGCAAGUGGAUCAACUUUUUUCAAUUAUAAAAAUAUUUUUCACAGGUGUUAAUGGCAUGGACUGAUGCAGAUUACAAAUUUAUAUUUAUAGAUGUCGGAUCAUACGGAUCUUCAAGUGACUCAACCAUUUUUAAGAAUUCGAAAAUGGGGAGAAUGUUGGAACUGAAUAAACUAAACAUACCAACUGGAAUGCCUUUGCCUGCUUAUGAAGACGACCGAUCGUUGCCGUUCUCUGUUAUGGCAGACGAAGAUUUUGGGUUAUCAAAACACGUCCUGAGGCCAUAUGCAGAGAAAAAGUUGACAAUGCUCAAAAGAAUAUAUAAUUAUCGACAUACAAAAGCUCACCGAAUGGUGGAGUGCACAUUUGGCAUUUUAGCUAACAAAUUGAGGGUUAUGCACAGGCCAUUAGAUGUCAGCAUCGGCUUCUGGGACUGCAUAAUUAAGGCAUGUUGUGUACUUCAUAAUUUUGUUCGCUGUAAGGAUGGCAUACGUUUUGUUGUUACUGUAUAUGAAUGUCCUCUUGAAAGUACUGUUGUUAAUAACAUACGAAAUUGUGGAACCGAUGUUAGGAGUUUCUUGUCGAAGUUUUUCAUUUCACCUCAAGGAUCAAUACCAAAGCAAUACGAAAAAAUGUAAUAGGCAGGUCGUGUGGAGACAAUAAACAUUUUACCAAGAAUGACAGAUUUGGUGCCAUAUAAGAUGAAACAACAUUUAUUUUCGAAUAAAAUAUUAUGAAAAUGCAAUGAAACUCUUCAUAAUUAUCAAGGAAAUCGGUCUACACUAUAAGUUAAACUUUAAAUUGUUAAAAUGUAAUUGUUUAAAUUAAAUAAAAAACAAAUUAACUAA